UUUACCUACGGGACGCAGCAGUGGGGAAUAUUGCACAAUGGGCGAAAGCCUGAUGCAGCAACGCCGCGUGAGCGAUGAAGGCCUUCGGGUCGUAAAGCUCUGUCCUCAAGGAAGAUAAUGACGGUACUUGAGGAGGAAGCCCCGGCUAACUACGUGCCAGCAGCCGCGGUAAUACGUAGGGGGCUAGCGUUAUCCGGAAUUACUGGGCGUAAAGGGGCGGAGGGGGGUUUUU
rnacentral:rRNA from 1 species